CUGGCGGCGUGCCUAAUACAUACAAGUAGAACGCUGAAGAGAGGAGCUUGCUCUUCUUGGAUGAGUUGCGAACGGGUGAGUAACGCGUAGGUAACCUGCCUUGUAGCGGGGGAUAACUAUUGGAAACGAUAGCUAAUACCGCAUAACAAUGGAUGACACAUGUCAUUUAUUUGAAAAGGGGCAAUUGCUCCACUACAAGAUGGACCUGCGUUGUAUUAGCUAGUAGGUGAGGUAACGGCUCACCUAGGCGACGAUACAUAGCCGACCUGAGAGGGUGAUCGGCCACACUGGGACUGAGACACGGCCCAGACUCCUACGGGAGGCAGCAGUAGGGAAUCUUCGGCAAUGGGGGCAACCCUGACCGAGCAACGCCGCGUGAGUGAAGAAGGUUUUCGGAUCGUAAAGCUCUGUUGUAAGUCAAGAACGAGUGUGAGAGUGGAAAGUUCACACUGUGACGGUAGCUUACCAGAAAGGGACGGCUAACUACGUG
rnacentral:rRNA from 1 species